rnacentral:siRNA from 1 species
UGAGCCUCCACAUCACCUGAUAGU